rnacentral:sRNA from 1 species
AAAGUAUGUAAAACUUACUACGUCUUGGAUGCCUUAGAUUUCAGUUAUAGAAUGUCAAGCAAGUCUGGCUGACAGCACCCCAAUGUCCUCAGGUAAGGAAAACAAAAUAGAGUUGGCUGAAUUGGAGAGAAAGGAAAGAUCUUUGUGAGAAUGGGGUAUUAAAAUGAAUGCUCUAAACAGGUAGGAAAAUCAUACUUCUCUCUCUGAUCAAAGUAGACAGCAUCUAGCAUAAGCCCUAUGAUCCAUGGUGGAAAGGACAGGUCAUCUGUUUUAAGAAUAGUUUAAAUACACUGUUUUUCCUUUUCCAGCAGUGUUUGCAAAAAAUUUUCAUGUCAAAGCAGUAAUGAAGACUUCCGUGUUGCUGUCUUGGGAGAUUCCAGAGAAUUAUAACUCCGCCAUGCCUUUCAAAAUUCUUUAUGAUGAUGGGAAAAUGGUAGAAGAAGUGGAUGGCCGAGCCACACAGAAGUUAAUUGUCAACCUGAAGCCUGAGAAAUCAUAUUCAUUUGUGCUGACAAAUCGUGGAAACAGUGCUGGUGGGCUGCAGCACAGG